AAUUCUCAACCUCUUCGAUUUGUUAUGAGUCGUGAGAGGCUUGGAUUUGGAGGUCUUUGCUGGCUUGGUCGGCUCCUCUUGAAUGCAUUAGCUGAACCCUCUGCUGAGCGUUCUCGGUGUGAUAAUUUGUCUGCGCCGUGCACGUAAAGCAACAUCACGGGAGUUGGCUUCUAAUUGUCCUGAGGGAUUAUUUAUUUGAC
rnacentral:misc_RNA from 1 species